CGUCGCUGCGGAUGAUCAACAGGCCCUUAGAUUUGUUCUCCUUAGCGUGAAACUAAGAACUUGUUGAUCAUGCGUAGGGGCGCA